GGACACCACCACAGCAUGGCCUGAUGAGUGGUGCACAGGUCCAUGCCUGGAAUCUGAACCUGUGAACCCUGGGCUGCCAAAGCAGAGCUCGCGAACUCAACCACCACACCACCGGGCCAACCUCAAGCCACUAAGUUUUGAAGUGGUUUGUUACACAAGAAAAGCUGAUUAAUACACUCCAUCUCAAGAGCAAGAGAGAUAAUGACUGUGAAUCAUACCAGCUCCUGCUUUGAAAACAGUCCACAGACACUCUGAGCAGACAGGCUUCUUGGCAGCAAAACACCUCUUUCCUUUCGACCACAGCUUAGCCUCUUUGGUCAACUCAGGUCAACUAUCCUGAUAAUGUGUGCUCCCCUCUCAUAUCAUCUGAC
rnacentral:lncRNA from 1 species